UACAGAGGUCUCAAGCGUUGUCCGGAUUCAUUGGGCGUAAAGAGCUCGUAGGCGGCUCAGUAAGUCGGGUGUGAAACCCUCAGGCUCAACCUGGGGACGCCACUCGAUACUGCUGUGGCUAGAGUCCAGUAGAGGAGUGUGGAAUUCCCGGUGUAGCGGUGAAAUGCGCAGAUAUCGGGAGGAACACCAACGGCGAAGGCAGCACUCUGGGCUGGUACUGACGCUGAGGAGCGAAAGCGUGGGUAGCAAACAGG
rnacentral:rRNA from 1 species